UACAGAGGCCACGAGCGUUAGGCGGAAUCACUGGGCUUAAAGCGUGUGUAGGUGGAUGGGUAAGUACCUUGUGAAAUCCCACGGCUCAACCGUGGAACUGCUUGGUAUACUGCCUGUCUUGAGGCACUCAGGGGCGAGCGGAACAAAUGGUGGAGCGGUGAAAUGCGUAGAUAUCAUUUGGAACGCCAAUGGUGAAGACAGCUCGCUGGGGGUGUACUGACACUGAGACACGAAAGCCAAGGGGAGCAAACAGG
rnacentral:rRNA from 1 species